rnacentral:rRNA from 1 species
GACGAACGCUGGCGGCGCGCCUCAUACAUGCAAGUCGAACGUGAAGCCCGGAGCUUGCUCCGGGUGGAAAGUGGCGAACGGGUGAGGAACACGUGAGGAACCUGCCCCGAAGACCGGGAUAACACCGGGAAACCGGUGCUAAUACCGGAUGCCCUCAUCGGAUCUCAUGAUCCGAUGAGGAAAUGAAUUCCGCUUCGGGAUGGCCUCGCGGCCUAUCAGCUUGUUGGUGGGGUAACGGCCCACCAAGGCUUCGACGGGUAGCUGGUCUGAGAGGAUGUCCAGCCACACUGGGACUGAGACACGGCCCAGACUCCUACGGGAGGCAGCAGUAGGGAAUCUUGCGCAAUGAGCGAAAGCUUGACGCAGCGACGCCGCGUGC